GACAGAGGGUGCAAACGUUGUUCGGAAUUACUGGGCGUAAAGCGCGUGUAGGCGGUCUCAUAAGUCGGGUGUGAAAGCCCCGGGCUCAACCCGGGAAGUGCACUCGAAACUGCGAGGCUAGAGUAUCGGAGAGGUUGGUGGAAUUCUCGGUGUAGAGGUGAAAUUCGUAGAUAUCGAGAGGAACACCGGCGGCGAAGGCGGCCAACUGGACGAAUACUGACGCUGAGACUCGAAAGCGUGGGGAGCAAACAGG
rnacentral:rRNA from 1 species